rnacentral:rRNA from 1 species
AGUCUUGUAGCAUACAAGCAGACGGCUCAGUAACGCGUAGUCAAUCUACCCUAUGGACGGGAAUAACCUCGGGAAACUGAGAAUAAUGCCCGAUAGAACAUUAUGCCUGGAAUGGUUUAUGUUUCAAAUGAUUUAUCGCCAUAGGAUGGGACUGCGGCCUAUCAGUUUGUUGGUGAGGUAAUGGCCCACCAAGACUAUUACAGGUACGGGCUCUGAGAGGGGUGGCCCGGAGAUGGGUACUGAGACACGGACCCAGGCCCUAUGGGGCGCAGCAGGCGAGAAAACUUUGCAAUGUGCGAAAGCACGACAAGGUUAAUCCGAGUGGUUUCUGCUAAAGAAACCUUUUGUCAGUCCUAGAAACACUAACGAGUAAGGGGUGGGCAAGUUCUGGUGUCAGCCGCCGCGGUAAAACCAGCACCUCAAGUGGUCAGGAUGAUUAUUGGGCCUAAAGCAUCCGUAGCUCGUUUUGUAAGUUUUCGGUUAAAUCCAUACGCUUAACGUAUGGGCUGCCGGGAAUACUGCAUAACUAGGAAGUGGGAGAGGUAGACGGUACUCGGUAGGAAGGGGUAAAAUCCUUUGAUCUAUUGAUGACCACCUGUGGCGAAGGCGGUCUACCAGAACACGUUCGACGGUGAGGGAUGAAAGCUGGGGGAGCAAACCGGAUUAAAUACCGGGUAGUCCCAGCUGUAACUAUGCAACUCAGUGAUGCAUUGGCUUGUGGCCAAUGCAGUGCUGCAAGGAAACCGUUAAGUUUGCCGCCUGGGA